UGUUUGGGCAAUUCUCUCUUGACAACAGACAGCUGGGUGUUCCCUUCAACAACAUUCCCAAGCUUAUCCUGGAAUUGAAUGACCAACUGGGUAAUAUCCCCUUCCACCACUUCACAGACCACCUCCUUGGUAUUCAAAUUCCCAAAAUUCACAACCUGAGCACACGCAUAACCUUCAUCAUGGUACCAUUUCUGCACUCUAUCCCUAAUCUUCUGCAGCAACCUUGCGCUAACCUUCCCCUGGUCUCUCAGCAUCUGAAGCACCUCCGUCUGCACCGCCAUUGGUAACAAACAAGGCCUCGCCUUCUCUAUCCUCCUCUUGUAAUCCUUCUCCUGACUCCUGUAAUACUCCAGCUUCUCUUUGUCGGUCAUAUCUGGAUCCAUUUCAAUGGGUUUCGAUUGCGUCAUUAAUCCUACAUUGAUGCACCUAAACUUAUCAGCUGAUUGCCAGGUGCUUUCUGCAAAUGAUAUAGUUAUGCCUAGGGUUCCGUCUGGAUUAGUUUUUCCUUCAAUGUCUACUUUCUCAAACAUUCCGCAAGUCGCUAGCGUUUCGAGUUCCUUCUGGAGCUGUGCUUUGGUGUAAAUUCCACCAGGUCGUAGAGAGACCAUCUCAAAGAAGGAGUCUUCAGUGCCCACGGUAGCCCAUCGCCGCCGAUCGAAGAAGAGGAUUUCUGAAAUUUUGUACUUCUUGAAGCCACUCAGUUUAUUUAGCUGAACAACAAUGUCGGCCGGAAGACCAUGUGAAUCCCACUCCUGUGACUCUGACUGCGACUCGUCCGCAACUGCCGGCGCCGGAGAAAACAGUCUCUUCCAGAACUCUCCUCCCUCACCAAAACCAUCUCCUCGUCCACC
rnacentral:misc_RNA from 1 species